GACAGAGGUGGCGAGCGUUGUUCGGAAUUACUGGGCUUAAAGGGCGAGUAGGCGGUGGAGCAAGUCUGAGGUGGAAUCCUAUGGCUUAACCAUAGAACUGCCUUAGAAACUGUUUCACUUGAGUCAGUGAGGGGAGGGCGGAAUUCCCGGUGUAGCGGUGAAAUGCGUAGAUAUCGGGAGGAAGGCCGGUGGCGAAGGCGGCCCUCUGGCACUGUAUUGACGUUGAGGCGCGAAAGCGUGGGGAGCAAACAGG
rnacentral:rRNA from 1 species